rnacentral:rRNA from 1 species
UUAAGCGACUAAGCGUACACGGUGGAUGCCCUGGCAGUCAGAGGCGAUGAAGGACGUGCUAAUCUGCGAUAAGCGUCGGUAAGGUGAUAUGAACCGUUAUAACCGGCGAUUUCCGAAUGGGGAAACCCAGUGUGUUUCGACACACUAUCAUUAACUGAAUCCAUAGGUUAAUGAGGCGAACCGGGGGAACUGAAACAUCUAAGUACCCCGAGGAAAAGAAAUCAACCGAGAUUCCCCCAGUAGCGGCGAGCGAACGGGGAGCAGCCCAGAGCCUGAAUCAGUGUGUGUGUUAGUGGAAGCGUCUGGAAAGGCGCGCGAUACAGGGUGACAGCCCCGUACACAAAAAUGCACAUGCUGUGAGCUCGAUGAGUAGGGCGGGACACGUGGUAUCCUGUCUGAAUAUGGGGGGACCAUCCUCCAAGGCUAAAUACUCCUGACUGACCGAUAGUGAACCAGUACCGUGAGGGAAAGGCGAAAAGAACCCCGGCGAGGGGAGUGAAAAAGAACCUGAAACCGUGUACGUACAAGCAGUGGGAGCACGCUUAGGCGUGUGACUGCGUACCUUUUGUAUAAUGGGUCAGCGACUUAUAUUCUGUAGCAAGGUUAACCGAAUAGGGGAGCCGAAGGGAAACCGAGUCUUAACUGGGCGUUAAGUUGCAGGGUAUAGACCCGAAACCCGGUGAUCUAGCCAUGGGCAGGUUGAAGGUUGGGUAACACUAACUGGAGGACCGAACCGACUAAUGUUGAAAAAUUAGCGGAUGACUUGUGGCUGGGGGUGAAAGGCCAAUCAAACCGGGAGAUAGCUGGUUCUCCCCGAAAGCUAUUUAGGUAGCGCCUCGUGAAUUCAUCUCCGGGGGUAGAGCACUGUUUCGGCAAGGGGGUCAUCCCGACUUACCAACCCGAUGCAAACUGCGAAUACCGGAGAAUGUUAUCACGGGAGACACACGGCGGGUGCUAACGUCCGUCGUGAAGAGGGAAACAACCCAGACCGCCAGCUAAGGUCCCAAAGUCAUGGUUAAGUGGGAAACGAUGUGGGAAGGCCCAGACAGCCAGGAUGUUGGCUUAGAAGCAGCCAUCAUUUAAAGAAAGCGUAAUAGCUCACUGGUCGAGUCGGCCUGCGCGGAAGAUGUAACGGGGCUAAACCAUGCACCGAAGCUGCGGCAGCGACGCUGAUGCGUUGUUGGGUAGGGGAGCGUUCUGUAAGCCUGCGAAGGUGUGCUGUGAGGCAUGCUGGAGGUAUCAGAAGUGCGAAUGCUGACAUAAGUAACGAUAAAGCGGGUGAAAAGCCCGCUCGCCGGAAGACCAAGGGUUCCUGUCCAACGUUAAUCGGGGCAGGGUGAGUCGACCCCUAAGGCGAGGCCGAAAGGCGUAGUCGAUGGGAAACAGGUUAAUAUUCCUGUACUUGGUGUUACUGCGAAGGGGGGACGGAGAAGGCUAUGUUGGCCGGGCGACGGUUGUCCCGGUUUAAGCGUGUAGGCUGGUUUUCCAGGCAAAUCCGGAAAAUCAAGGCUGAGGCGUGAUGACGAGGCACUACGGUGCUGAAGCAACAAAUGCCCUGCUUCCAGGAAAAGCCUCUAAGCAUCAGGUAACAUCAAAUCGUACCCCAAACCGACACAGGUGGUCAGGUAGAGAAUACCAAGGCGCUUGAGAGAACUCGGGUGAAGGAACUAGGCAAAAUGGUGCCGUAACUUCGGGAGAAGGCACGCUGAUAUGUAGGUGAAGUCCCUUGCGGAUGGAGCUGAAAUCAGUCGAAGAUACCAGCUGGCUGCAACUGUUUAUUAAAAACACAGCACUGUGCAAACACGAAAGUGGACGUAUACGGUGUGACGCCUGCCCGGUGCCGGAAGGUUAAUUGAUGGGGUCAGCGCAAGCGAAGCUCUUGAUCGAAGCCCCGGUAAACGGCGGCCGUAACUAUAACGGUCCUAAGGUAGCGAAAUUCCUUGUCGGGUAAGUUCCGACCUGCACGAAUGGCGUAAUGAUGGCCAGGCUGUCUCCACCCGAGACUCAGUGAAAUUGAACUCGCUGUGAAGAUGCAGUGUACCCGCGGCAAGACGGAAAGACCCCGUGAACCUUUACUAUAGCUUGACACUGAACAUUGAGCCUUGAUGUGUAGGAUAGGUGGGAGGCUUGGAAGUGUGGACGCCAGUCUGCAUGGAGCCGACCUUGAAAUACCACCCUUUAAUGUUUGAUGUUCUAACGUUGACCCGUGAUCCGGGUUGCGGACAGUGUCUGGUGGGUAGUUUGACUGGGGCGGUCUCCUCCUAAAGAGUAACGGAGGAGCACGAAGGUUGGCUAAUCCUGGUCGGACAUCAGGAGGUUAGUGCAAUGGCAUAAGCCAGCUUGACUGCGAGCGUGACGGCGCGAGCAGGUGCGAAAGCAGGUCAUAGUGAUCCGGUGGUUCUGAAUGGAAGGGCCAUCGCUCAACGGAUAAAAGGUACUCCGGGGAUAACAGGCUGAUACCGCCCAAGAGUUCAUAUCGACGGCGGUGUUUGGCACCUCGAUGUCGGCUCAUCACAUCCUGGGGCUGAAGUAGGUCCCAAGGGUAUGGCUGUUCGCCAUUUAAAGUGGUACGCGAGCUGGGUUUAGAACGUCGUGAGACAGUUCGGUCCCUAUCUGCCGUGGGCGCUGGAGAACUGAGGGGGGCUGCUCCUAGUACGAGAGGACCGGAGUGGACGCAUCACUGGUGUUCGGGUUGUCAUGCCAAUGGCACUGCCCGGUAGCUAAAUGCGGAAGAGAUAAGUGCUGAAAGCAUCUAAGCACGAAACUUGCCCCGAGAUGAGUUCUCCCUGACCCUUUAAGGGUCCUGAAGGAACGUUGAAGACGACGACGUUGAUAGGCCGGGUGUGUAAGCGCAGCGAUGCGUUGAGCUAACCGGUACUAAUGAACCGUGAGGCUUAACCUU